UACGGAGGGUGCAAGCAUUAAUCGGAUUUAUUGGGCGUAAAGGGCGCGUAGGCGGGGAUGUCAGUCAGAUGUGAAAUCCCGAGGCUCAACCUCGGAACAGCAUUUGAAACUUCAUCUCUUGAGGGUAGGCGGAGAAAAUGGAAUUCCACAAGUAGCGGUGAAAUGCGUAGAUAUGUGGAAGAACACCAGUGGCGAAGGCGGUUUUCUAGCUUACUCCUGACGCUGAGGCGCGAAAGCAAGGGGAUCAAACAGG
rnacentral:rRNA from 1 species